rnacentral:rRNA from 1 species
AGCAGUCGCCGCGGUAAUACGGAGGGUGCAAGCGUUAAACGGAAUUACUGGGCGUAAAGCGCACGCAGGCGGUCUGACAAGUCAGAUGUGAAAUCCCCGGGCUUAACCUGGGAACUGCAUUUGAAACUGUCAGGCUGGAGUCUUGUAGAGGGGGGUAGAAUUCCAGGUGUAGCGGUGAAAUGCGUAGAGAUCUGGAGGAAUACCGGUGGCGAAGGCGGCCCCCUGGACAAAGACUGACGCUCAGGUGCGAAAGCGUGGGGAGCAAACAGGAUUAGAGACCCCUGUAGUCCCUGUCUCUUAUAC